AAUGUUUUUUAAUCGGGUCGGAUUAGGUGCGGUUUUGACAUCUCCACGUUGUCAAAUGUUUAAUUAACCAUGCUCAAACUUUAAGCCAAUAAAUAAAAGAUGAUUCGCAAAUGCAAAAUACCCGCCAACUUGAUGUUACAGUUCAAAUUCAAUAGUGUACAUCUAAGCGAUAAGUUAUUGCUCAUUCCAACUCUGAUUAUGCAAAUUUUACAUCUCAACGAUUUUUGCCUCUUUUUCGUUCAUCGGUACCAUGCCAUGAAGAAGGCAGACCAUGGAUAUAAACUGACCCCGGCUUAAGGAAUCGCCAACAAAUAGCAUUCUCUUUCCCCGGAUGGCCUCCAACAUUAAGGUUGCAUUAAAUCUGGAAGCUUUCAUUUAGUAUGUGCAAAUCAACACAAACUCGAAAACAUAGCUUAAGUGUAUGCACAUUGAUUUGACAACACCAUUUCUCUGCUCUCUCAGGUGUGAAAAGAUUUUUAUCCAGGGACUACUAAGUACUAACCAAGAGAGGGAGGGGGGUCAUUGAGUGCCGGAAAUUGCUGUUGAUGAUGAAAAGGC